AACUAUGGCUGUGCAACCCUGAACGUGCCCGAUCUCUUCUGAUCUCAGAAGCUAAGCAGGGUCAGGCCUGUUUAGUACUUGGAUGGGAGACCAUCUAGGAAUACCAGGUGCUUUAAGUG
rnacentral:rRNA from 1 species